AGAGUUUGAUCCUGGCUCAGAUUGAACGCUGGCGGCAGGCUUAACACAUGCAAGUCGAGCGGGGGAAGGUAGCUUGCUACCGGACCUAGCGGCGGACGGGUGAGUAAUGCUUAGGAAUCUGCCUAUUAGUGGGGGACAACAUCUCGAAAGGGAUGCUAAUACCGCAUACGUCCUACGGGAGAAAGCAGGGGAUCUUCGGACCUUGCGCUAAUAGAUGAGCCUAAGUCGGAUUAGCUAGUUGGUGGGGUAAAGGCCUACCAAGGCGACGAUCUGUAGCGGGUCUGAGAGGAUGAUCCGCCACACUGGGACUGAGACACGGCCCAGACUCCUACGGGAGGCAGCAGUGGGGAAUAUUGGACAAUGGGGGGAACCCUGAUCCAGCCAUGCCGCGUGUGUGAAGAAGGCCUUAUGGUUGUAAAGCACUUUAAGCGAGGAGGAGGCUACUUUAGUUAAUACCUAGAGAUAGUGGACGUUACUCGCAGAAUAAGCACCGGCUAACUCUGUGCCAGCAGCCGCGGUAAUACAGAGGGUGCGAGCGUUAAUCGGAUUUACUGGGCGUAAAGCGUGCGUAGGCGGCUUAUUAAGUCGGAUGUGAAAUCCCCGAGCUUAACUUGGGAAUUGCAUUCGAUACUGGUGAGCUAGAGUAUGGGAGAGGAUGGUAGAAUUCCAGGUGUAGCGGUGAAAUGCGUAGAGAUCUGGAGGAAUACCGAUGGCGAAAGCAGCCAUCUGGCCUAAUACUGACGCUGAGGUACGAAAGCAUGGGGAGCAAACAGGAUUAGAUACCCUGGUAGUCC
rnacentral:rRNA from 1 species